GAGAACGUGCCCUUCGGGGUAGAUCUCCCACCCUUUGUAUACUAUACCUUUGUUGCCUUGGCAGGCCCGUCUCCGGACCGCUGGCUUCGGCUGGCCCGCGCCUGUCAGAGGACUCCAAACUCUUUUGUUAAUAUUGUCUGAGUACUAUUUUAAUAGUUAAAACUUUCAACAACGGAUCUCUUGGUUCU
rnacentral:misc_RNA from 1 species